rnacentral:rRNA from 1 species
AUUGAACGCUGGCGGCAGGCCUAACACAUGCAAGUCGAACGCAGUGGGGACGGGUGAGUAACACGUGGGUAACCUCCCAUCAGAGGGGAUAACACUUGGCAACAGGUGCUAAACCGAUACUGAUGGAUGGACCCGCGGUGCAUUAGCUAGUUGGUGAGGUAACGGCUCACCAAGGCCACGAUGCAUAGCCGACCGGAGAGGGUGAUAGGCCACACUGGGACUGAGACACGGCCCAGACUCCUACGGGAGGCAGCAGUAGGGAUUCUUCGGCAAUGGACGAAAGUCUGACCGAGCAACGCCGCGUGAGUUAAGAUGGUUUUCGUAUCGUAAAACUCUGUUGUUAGAGAAGCGGUAUCUAACCAGAAAGCCACGGCUAACUACGUGCCAGCCGCCGCGGUAAUAC